rnacentral:ncRNA from 23 species
GAAUAUAGAGGCGAUGGAGUUCGCCUUAAAUUGCCACAAGAAUGAAAAAUACCUUGUGGCUGAUAACUCCUGUCCGUAU